GGGGCUAUAGCUCAGUGGUACAGCACAUGCUUAGUGUGCACAAGGUCCUGGGUUCAAUCCCCGGUACCUCCG
rnacentral:tRNA from 1 species